rfam:Schistosoma mansoni strain Puerto Rico chromosome W, complete genome
AUGCAGCUGACGAGUCCCAAAUAGGACAAAACGCGCGUGCUGGAU